rnacentral:misc_RNA from 1 species
GUAUAAGGUUUAAAGGCACAAGGGCCCAAUGAUACAUUCUGUUACAUACAAUGGGGUAUAUGAAAAACAUAGACCUGGAAUUGCAAAGAAAGCCAGCUAGGUGCUAGCAGUCCUCACGACCGAGUUGCCUCGGAUAAUCAAUUCCAAAUCUACAAGAGGUGCACAGGUGGAGAGAUGAGGAUGGUAUGUGUGCACAUGCCCCCAAGAGGGCCAGCAACAACCACACCAAAUUCAUUCAAUAAUGAUCCUUCCGCAGGUUCACCUACGGAAA